UCGCGUCGUCUGUGAAAUUCCGGGGCUUAACUCCGGGCGUGCAGGCGAUACGGGCAUAACUUGAGUACUGUAGGGGUAACUGGAAUUCCUGGUGUAGCGGUGAAAUGCGCAGAUAUCAGGAGGAACACCGAUGGCGAAGGCAGGUUACUGGGCAGUUACUGACGCUGAGGAGCGAAAGCAUGGGUAGCGAACAGGAUUAGAUACCCUGGUAGUCCAUGCCGUAAACGGUGGGCGCUAGGUGUGAGGGUCUUUUCACGACUUUCGUGCCGUAGCUAACGCAUUAAGCGCCCCGCCUGGGGAGUACGGCCGCAAGGCUAAAACUCAAAGGAAUUGACGGGGGCCCGCACAAGCGGCGGAGCAUGUGGAUUAAUUCGAUGCAACGCGAAGAACCUUACCUGGGCUUGACAUACACUGGAUCGGGCUAGAGAUAGUCUUUCCCUUUGUGGCUGGUGUACAGGUGGUGCAUGGUUGUCGUCAGCUCGUGUCGUGAGAUGUUGGGUUAAGUCCCGCAACGAGCGCAACCCUUGUCUUAUGUUGCCAGCAUUUGGUUGGGGACUCAUGAGAGACUGCCGGGGUCAACUCGGAGGAAGGUGGGGAUGACGUCAAAUCAUCAUGCCCCUUAUGUCCAGGGCUUCACACAUGCUACAAUGGUCGGUACAACGCGCAGCGACACUGUGAGGUGGAGCGAAUCGCUGAAAGCCGGCCUUAGUUCGGAUUGGGGUCUGCAACUCGGCCCCAUGAAGUCGGAGUCGCUAGUAAU
rnacentral:rRNA from 1 species